rnacentral:tRNA from 1 species
GCGCCCGUGGCUCAGGGGAUAGAGCAUUCGACUUCUAAUCGAACGGUCACAGGUUCGAAUCCUGUCGGGCGCA